GGAGAUGUAGCUCAGAGGUAGAGCUCUUACCUACCAUGCACAAGGCCCUGGGUUCUAUCCCCGGGAGCAGCC
rnacentral:tRNA from 1 species